AACUGUAAUGAUGAGACCUCACUGAUUUGACAAGAUAUUGUUCUUUCAGAUCAGGACUGGGAGACCCUAAAAGCCUAAGCAAGGUACAUAUAUGAAAAUGAGGAUAUGAAGCAGAGCAAAGCUCUGUCAACAGAGACAGACGGAGGUGACAUACACUGUGGAUCUUGCAUGUCAUCCUGCCUAGACUUUGGAGGAGGCUCUGCACUGAUUCAUGCCUCACCAACCUUCAUUUGUGCCAUGUCUUGCAACACACAGUGUGAUGGAGGUCUGUAUCUCAGACUGUACUGCACCUAAAAAAAAAUGGAGCAUAUGCCUGCAAAACCAAUGAAAUACGUCAAAUUGAGGACAAAUUAGCAGAAGACACUGCAUAGGAAAGGUGCUUGGGAGGAUGUGGAAUGAGAUACUUUGGUCCCAGCUACAGACAACUUGCUUACCUCAGCUUUUCAGAUCUUCACAAGUUUAAAGCUAAUUAUAACCUUGUCAAAAUGCAAGAAAUUAAAUCAAGACUUUAGAUUGACUGCCAAAGCAGGCAAUUAAAUCCCUGAAAAUGCUUAUGGCAGCAAUUUUUUUAAACUCAUCUUCCCAGUAGACAUUAUCAAAGAGAGAUGGUUUUUCCAAGUUCAUUUAAAA